GAACUAAUGAGCUCUGUCAACAAUUUACCAUUGAAGCACCGAACAUUGACGAUCGCUGUUUAAGAAAUCAUGCACUUUUGGUAGCAAUUGCUGAGAAGGUAAUACGGCUGGCAAGUAUUGAUGAUCUCUAUCCAAGCAAUGCCAUCGCUUUUUUCAAACAAACAAUCCUGCCAGUGUGGAUGAAGCGAUUCCAGACCAACCAAGCGCAAGUGUCUCAUGCAAUGCUUCAAACAGAACAGCCAAUUAUUGUGGACUUAAUAAUGAAGUCAAUAGAGCACAAAAUAUCUUGCAAAAACGUUUGUAAUAAAUUCAUAGCCCAUAGACCAAAUUCAUAAAGUAAUUGUGACAUUUCU